GAUAAACGCUGGCGGCGUGCAUGAGACAUGCAAGUCGAACGAACGAGCUUGCUCGUUAGUGGCGGACGGCUGAGUAACGCGGAGGUGACCUGCCCCGAAGUGGUGGAUAACUGCCCGAAAGGGCGGCGAAUACCGCAGGUGGCGACGGCUUCAGUGACGUCAUCAAAGCCGCGGGGCGCUUCGGGAGGGGCCUGAGUCCGAUUAGCUCGUUGGUGGGGUAAUGGCUCACCAAGGCGACGAUCGGUAGGUGGUCUGAGAGGACGAUCACCCAGACUGGGACUGAGACACGGCCCAGACUCCUACGGGAGGCAGCAGUCGGGAAUUUUGCUCAAUGGGCGCAAGCCUGAAGCAGCAACGCCGCGUGAGGGAUGAAGGCCUUCGGGUUGUAAACCUCUUUUUCCAGGGACGAUGAUGACGGUACCUGAAGAAUAAGUCACGGCUAACUACGUGCCAGCCGCCGCUGUAAUAC
rnacentral:rRNA from 1 species